GACAGAGGGUGCAAACGUUGUUCGGAAUUACUGGGCGUAAAGCGCGUGUAGGCGGCAGGGCAAGUCGGAUGUGAAAGCCCACGGCUCAACCGUGGAAGUGCACCCGAAACUGCCUCGCUAGAGUCUCGGAGAGGAAGGUGGAAUGCUUGGUGUAGAGGUGAAAUUCGUAGAUAUCAAGCGGAACACCGGUGGCGAAGGCGGCCUUCUGGACGAUGACUGACGCUGAGACGCGAAAGCGUGGGGAGCAAACAGG
rnacentral:rRNA from 1 species